GGAGUCUGGGCCGUGUCUCAGUCCCAAUGUGGCCGUUCAUCCUCUCAGACCGGCUACUGAUCGUCGCCCCGGUGGGCCGUUACCCCGCCGGCAAGCUAAUCAGACGCCAUCCCCAUCCCUCAGCGAUGAAUCUUUGCUACUCGUUAGAUGCCCGCAAAGGAGAACAUAGGGCAUUAAUC
rnacentral:rRNA from 1 species